rnacentral:rRNA from 1 species
UACGAAGGGGGGCUAGCGUUGUUCGGAUUUACUGGGCGUAAAGCGCACGUAGGCGGAUUGUUAAGUCGGGGGGUGAAAUCCUGGAGCUCAACUCCAGAAUUGCCUUCGAUACUGGCUUUCUAGAGGCUGGAAGAGGUUAGUGGAAUUCCCAGUGUAGAGGUGAAAAUUCGUAGAUAUUGGGAAGAACACCAGUGGCGAAGGCGGCUAACUGGACAUGUAUUGACGCUGAGGUGGCGAA